rnacentral:rRNA from 1 species
GACGAACGCUGGCGGCGUGCUUAACACAUGCAAGUCGAACGGAAAGGCCCUGCUUUUGUGGGGUGCUCGAGUGGCGAACGGGUGAGUAACACGUGAGUAACCUGCUCUUGACUUUGGGAUAACUUCAGGAAACUGGGGCUAAUACCGGAUAGGAGCUCCUGCUGCAUGGUGGGGGUUGGAAAGUUUCGGCGGUUGGGGAUGGACUCGCGGCUUAUCAGCUUGUUGGUGGGGUAGUGGCUUACCAAGGCUUUGACGGGUAGCCGGCCUGAGAGGGUGACCGGCCACAUUGGGACUGAGAUACGGCCCAGACUCCUACGGGAGGCAACAGUGGGGAAUAUUGCACAAUGGGCGGAAGCCUGAUGCAGCAACGCCGCGUGCGGGAUGACGGCCUUCGGGUUGUAAACCGCUUUCGCCUGUGACGAAGCGUGAGUGACGGUAAUGGGUAAAGAAGCACCGGCUAACUACGUG